GUUUCGGAACGAUUACGUAACGAUAAUCGCGAACAAGCAUCCGAGUAGGAAUCGCGGGCACGGCCGGGAAGGAAAAAUAGGGGAAAAAUAGUGGAAAAAUAGGGGAGAAAUAGGGGAAAAGGUAGGAGGGAGGCAGGGGAGGGAAAAAAGUAGGCCCUGCCUCCUUGCUCGUUGUCGGCCUUUCCGCGGAGAGAAGAAGAGCGGAUGCCAACCGCUACCCGCCAAUCGAGUAUCUAGAGCACGAACGAACGAUGUGGUUUUUUGUCGGAAUUUCCGGUAGUGAUUUAUCAAACGGGAAAGAUGGUAUCGGACGAAGAAGCAACGGCAAGAAACGACUUCUCGUGGAGAAGCCGAAGGAGCUAGAGAAGCGAGAGCGAAGAAAGAAGGGGAGGAGAAGCAGAAGAAGCGAAAGAAGAUGGCUCGCGAGUGGCGGCGGAGCAACGAGCUAUCCCGCGCAAACUCGGAAUGCCUGGCUAUGCACCCGACCACGUACGAACGCAUGCUCGAGCGCUAUCAAGUGUCAAACGAACCGAACGUAAGAAAAACCAAACGUCCGAGCUGCUGCGCCACGGAAUUUUGAGAGAACGCAGCCGGAGACGAGAGAUAGACGGAUAGACGACGGAUAGACGGAGAAGAGGGUGGGAAGGAGGGAGAAAGAGCGAGAAAAGAAACUCUAGAUUCUAAACGGUGUAUCAUCCGUGUGUGCCCCGACGGUCAUCCACACCGGCGGACCCUUCGACCCUCUUGGCGCAUCACCGUCUUGACAGCUCGAGGAAACGCCGCGACCAGAAAUCAGCUCGUAACAUCCUCCGAGAGAAAUCUACGGCUCGCUCGCGCGCAUCUCUGCUCUCCCCUUUGACGUAGCAUCGAUACACUCGACCUUAGCUCUCCGAGAACUCAGAACGAGCCAACGAGAGACGCGGAAAGAUGAGAAGAAGCACGAGCCAGACGGAUAUCGAAGGUUUACGCACAGUUACGGAGGAAUGAUUUGCAAAGAGCUAACGCGAAGGACCAAGACUUCCACAUUCGUAGAGGAAAAACGGCGAAACGUCGACGACGUUCGAGAAGACUGAUUUCCAUUCCAUCGUGCACCAUGGAUAACCAUGCCACUGGAUAAGCCCGAUUUUCCCUGAGAAAUAAUUUUUCACUUUUAAUAGUUUUCUGCAACGUCGCGUCAAUAAUUUGCACCGAGAAAAAACCUUCGUCGUUUCUCGUGAAUGAUUUCGUAACAGUUUCUGCUCGGAUCAGCUCUGAUCGACGCAAAUGCGCAAUGUUUGCGAGAAAAAUUACCGCGCGUAUUGCGAUUAACUUACAUAUCGCGGCGAUUUAAUUGCAAAUUACGUCAUGUAUAUGUUC